CCCUACUGCUAUCGGGAUGAGACUUAGCCAUGCAAGUUGUGCGCUUCCAAGCUAUGUUGGAAGAGCAGCGAACGGCUCCGUAACACGUAGUUAACCUAACCUCGGGACAGGAAUACCCCCGGGAAACUGGGGUUAAUGCUUGAUAGGUGAUGAUUCCUGGAAUGGUUUAUCGUUUAAAGGGCGUUGAGAACAUGCUUUCAACGUUGCCCGAGGAUGGGACUGCGGCCGAUCAGGUUGUUGGUAGGGUAAUGGCCUACCAAGCCUAUAACCGGUACGGGCCCUGAGAGGGGUAGCCCGGAGAUGGGAACUGAGACAAGGUCCCAAGCCCUACGGGGUGCAGCAGGCGCGAAAACUCCACAAUGCACGAAAGUGUGAUGGGGUUAUCCCGAGUGCCGUCCGUUGAGGAUGGCUUUUCUCUGGUGUAAGUCGCCGGAGGAAUAAGAGGGGGGCAAGACUGGUGUCAGCCGCCGCGGUAAUACCAGCUCCUCGAGUGGUAGGGAUGAUUAUUUGGCCUAAAACGUUCGUAGCCGGCUUAUCAUGUCCUUCGUGAAAUCCUGCGAUUAAUCGUAGGGCGGGCGAGGGAUACUGUUAGGCUUGAGGACGGGAGAGGUCGACGGUAGUCUUGGGGUAGGGGUGAAAUCCUAUAAUCCCAAGCCGACCACCAGUGGCGUAGGCGGUCGACUAGAACGUGCCUGACGGUGAUGGACGAAAGCUGGGGGAGCGAACCGGAUUAGAUACCCGGGUAGUCCCAGCCGUAAACGAUGCGGGCUAGGUGUUGGGACAGCUACGUGCUGUCCCAGUGCCGCAGGGAAGCCCUUAAGCCCGCUGCCUGGGAAGUACGGUCGCAAGGCUGAAACUUAAAGGAAUUGGCGGGGGAGAGCUACAAGGGGUGAAGGCUGCGGUUU
rnacentral:rRNA from 1 species